rnacentral:rRNA from 1 species
CGGGGUGCAGCAGGCGCGAAAACUUUGCAAUAGGCGAAAGCCUGACAGGGCUAUCCCGAGUGCCAUCCGCUGAGGAAGGCUUUUACCCAGUCUAGAACGCUGGGGGAAUAAGGAGAGGGCAAGUCUGGUGUCAGCCGCCGCGGUAAUACCAGCUCUUCGAGUGGUGUGGAUGUUUAUUGGGCCUAAAGCAUCCGUAGCUGGCUAAGUUAGUCCCUUGUUAAAUCCACCGAAUUAAUCGUUGGAUCGCGGGGGAUACUGCUUGGCUAGGGGACGAGAGAGGCAGACGGUAUUUUCGGGGUAGGGGUGAAAUCCUAUAAUCCCGGGAAGACCACCAGUGGCGAAGGCUGUCUGCUAGAACGCGCCCGACGGUGAGGGAUGAAAGCUGGGGGAGCGAACCGGAUUAGAUACCCGGGUAGUCCCAGCUGUAAACGAUGCAGACUAGGUGUUUGAACGGCCACGUGCCGUUCUAGUGCCGCAGGGAAGCUGUUAAGUCUGCCGCCUGGGGAGUACGAUCGCAAGAUUGAAACUUAAAGGAAUUGGCGGGGGAGCAC